rnacentral:rRNA from 1 species
GAUUAGGUAGUUGGUGGGGUAUCGGCCCACCAAGCCAACGAUCAGUAGCCGUCCUGAGAGGUUGACCGGCCACAUUGGGACUGAGACACGGCCCAUACUCCUACGGGAGGCAGCAGUGGGGAAUAUUGCACAAUGGGGGAAACCCUGAUGCAGCGACGCCGCGUGAGCGAAGAAGUAUUUCGGUAUGUAAAGUUCUAUCAGCAGGGAAGAUAAUGACGGUACCUGACUAAGAAGCACCGGCUAAAUACGUGCCAGCAGCCGCGGUAAUACGUAUGGUGCAAGCGUUAUCCGGAUUUACUGGGUGUAAAGGGAGCGUAGACGGAUGUGUAAGUUUGAAGUGAAAGCCCGGGGCUCAACCCCGGGACUGCUUUGGAAACUAUGCACCUAGAGUGUCGGAGAGGUAAGUGGAAUUCCCAGUGUAGCGGUGAAAUGCGUAGAUAUUGGGAGGAACACCAGUGGCGAAGGCGGCUUACUGGACGAUGACUGACGUUGAGGCUCGAAAGCGUGGGGGGCAAACAGGAUUAGAUACCCUGGUAGUCCACGCCGUAAACGAAGACUACUAGGUGUCGGGGAGCAAAGCUGUUCGGCGCCGCAGCCAACGCCAUAAGUAGUCCACGUGGGGAGUACGCUCGCAAGAAUGAAACUCAAAGGAAUUGACGGGGACCCGCACAAGCGGUGGAGCAUGUGGUUUAAUUAUAAGCAACGCGAAGAACCUUACCCGCUCUUGACAUCCUGGUGACCGGCAUGUAAUGAUGCCUUCUCUUUGUAACACCGGUGACAGGAUGCGCCUGGUUGUCGUCAGCUCGGGUUGUGAGAUGUUGGGUUAAGUCCCGCAACGAGCGCAACCCUUAUCUUCAGUAGCCAGCAAUUCGGAUGGGCGCUCUGGAGAGACCCCCAGGGAUAACCUGGAGGAAGGCGGGGAUGACGUCAAAUCAUCAUGCCCCUUCUGAGCAGGGCUACACACGUGGUACAAUGGCGUAAACAAAGGGAAGCGAGCCUGCGAGGGUAAGCAAAUCUCAAAAAUAACGUGUCAGUUUGGAUCGUAGUCCGCAACUCGAAUACAUCAAGCUGGAAUAGCUAGUAAUCGCGAAUCAGCAUGUGGCGGUGAACACGUUCCCGUCUCGAGCACACACCGCCCUUC